UCCACAGGUUACUGAGCCCAACAUCCCUCCCUCCACUGGGAAUCCGCUAUUUCAAACAAAUCUGGGUUCUGCCCGCCGGGUGGCGCAAUGACAGUAGCCACCAGGUGAUCCUGGUAAUUCGCGCACCUAGGUUUCCCACAACAUGCCUGACUUGUCUCCACUGAAGAAUUUAGGGCUCAUCCAUAUUGUAGUAUAAUCAACUCCAUUCCUCUUUAUGGGGAGGACAAUGUUACCACUGCAAGGGGAAGCUGAGGACAAAGGGCCCUUUGUGAGGAUGGUUCCCACCUGAGCAGCAGCACCCAGGAUCGCACCUGAUGGUGGAGCAGCCCUUCUUCUCCUUCCAGCCCCUGCACGGAGCUGGCUUCCAGAAAUGACCUGGGGAAGCUGUGCAGGCCUGAACUGACUUCCCCAAAUGACUCUGCUGGCCCAUCCCAAGCCUGGCACAUGCCAGUGAGGAGAGGCAGGGACAAGGGUUCCUAGCGAAAGACCUGGAUACAGGAUACACAGGUUUCUUCCCUCAAUCUCUAAAGUUUGAGACCUUGGGCAGAUGCUGGCCUAUGGGAGGCCUGGCAGGUGGGAAGUAUUUGUCUUAUCCAUUGCAACAUCUGUAAGGGACAUACUUCACAGCUGGGCUCCCAAGGGAGUGUUUCUGAAGAAAAAGAAAAGGAAACUUAAAAAACCAAACACUUUAUGGGAUGUAUUUAUAUGCUAGUACUGCAGUAUCGGAGAGACUGGAAGCUGGGAAGAGUCCUGGCAGCUGCAGACCAGUCCUUACCCAGGAGAGGUUCACUGCGGGUGUGGAGGUAUAAACACUAUUGGGUUGUUUGACGAGGCAAGCAUUGGUAAUUUAUAUGCCAAAGCAGCAGGAGCAA